ensembl:snoRNA
GUCCUUUUGGGGUUCCUAAGUGUGAUGAAUGGGUUUUCCUGCCAUUUUGUGAGAUGUGCUUCCCUCAAACCGUGUCUAGACUCCUGCACAUUACCUGCCUGAUG